rnacentral:rRNA from 1 species
GACGAACGCUGGCGGCGUGCUUAACACAUGCAAGUCGAACGGAAAGGCCCUGCUUUUGUGGGGUGCUCGAGUGGCGAACGGGUGAGUAACACGUGAGUAACCUGCCCUUGACUUUGGGAUAACUUCAGGAAACUGGGGCUCAUACCGGAUAGGAGCUCCUGCUGCAUGGUGGGGGUUGGAAAGUUUCGGCGGUUGGGGAUGGACUCGCGGCUUAUCAGCUUGUUGGUGGGGUAGUGGCUUACCAAGGCUUUGACGGGUAGCCGGCCUGAGAGGGUGACCGGCCACAUGGGGACUGAGAUACGGCCCAGACUCCUACGGGAGGCAGCAGUGGGGAAUAUUGCACAAUGGGCGGAAGCCUGAUGCAGCAACGCCGCGUGCGGGAUGACGGCCUUCGGGUUGUAAACCGCUUUCGCCUGUGACGAAGCGUGAGUGACGGUAAUGGGUAAAGAAGCACCGGCUAACUACGUG